UUAAGCGACUAAGCGUACACGGUGGAUGCCCUGGCAGUCAGAGGCGAUGAAGGGCGUGCUAAUCUGCGAUAAGCGCCGGUAAGGUGAUAUGAACCGUUAUAACCGGCGAUACCCGAAUGGGGAAACCCAGUGUGAUUCGUCACACUAUCAUUAACUGAAUCCAUAGGUUAAUGAGGCGAACCGGGGGAACUGAAACAUCUAAGUACCCCGAGGAAAAGAAAUCAACCGAGAUUCCCCCAGUAGCGGCGAGCGAACGGGGAGGAGCCCAGAGCCUGAAUCAGCAUGUGUGUUAGUGGAAGCGUCUGGAAAGGCGCGCGAUACAGGGUGACAGCCCCGUACACAAAAGCGCAUGUGCUGUGAGCUCGAUGAGUAGGGCGGGACACGUGGUAUCCUGUCUGAAUAUGGGGGGACCAUCCUCCAAGGCUAAAUACUCCUGACUGACCGAUAGUGAACCAGUACCGUGAGGGAAAGGCGAAAAGAACCCCGGCGAGGGGAGUGAAAAAGAACCUGAAACCGUGUACGUACAAGCAGUGGGAGCACAGGUUUACCUGUGUGACUGCGUACCUUUUGUAUAAUGGGUCAGCGACUUAUAUUCUGUAGCAAGGUUAACCGAAUAGGGGAGCCGGAGGGAAACCGAGUCUUAAUUGGGCGUUAAGUUGCAGGGUAUAGACCCGAAACCCGGUGAUCUAGCCAUGGGCAGGUUGAAGGUUGGGUAACACUAACUGGAGGACCGAACCGACUAAUGUUGAAAAAUUAGCGGAUGACCUGUGGCUGGGGGUGAAAGGCCAAUCAAACCGGGAGAUAGCUGGUUCUCCCCGAAAGCUAUUUAGGUAGCGCCUCGUGAAUUCAUCUCCGGGGGUAGAGCACUGUUUCGGCUAGGGGGCCAUCCCGGCUUACCAACCCGAUGCAAACUGCGAAUACCGGAGAAUGUUAUCACGGGAGACACACGGCGGGUGCUAACGUCCGUCGUGAAGAGGGAAACAACCCAGACCGCCAGCUAAGGUCCCAAAGUCAUGGUUAAGUGGGAAACGAUGUGGGAAGGCCCAGACAGCCAGGAUGUUGGCUUAGAAGCAGCCAUCAUUUAAAGAAAGCGUAAUAGCUCACUGGUCGAGUCGGCCUGCGCGGAAGAUGUAACGGGGCUAAACCAUGCACCGAAGCUGCGGCAGCGACGCUGAUGCGUUGUUGGGUAGGGGAGCGUUCUGUAAGCCUGCGAAGGUGGCCUGUGAGGGUUGCUGGAGGUAUCAGAAGUGCGAAUGCUGACAUAAGUAACGAUAAAGCGGGUGAAAAGCCCGCUCGCCGGAAGACCAAGGGUUCCUGUCCAACGUUAAUCGGGGCAGGGUGAGUCGACCCCUAAGGCGAGGCCGAAAGGCGUAGUCGAUGGGAAACGGGUUAAUAUUCCCGUACUUGGUGUUACUGCGAAGGGGGGACGGAGAAGGCUAUGUUGGCCGGGCGACGGUUGUCCCGGUUUAAGCGUGUAGGCUGGUUUUCCAGGCAAAUCCGGAAAAUCAAGGCUGAGGCGUGAUGACGAGGCACUACGGUGCUGAAGCAACAAAUGCCCUGCUUCCAGGAAAAGCCUCUAAGCAUCAGGUAACAUCAAAUCGUACCCCAAACCGACACAGGUGGUCAGGUAGAGAAUACCAAGGCGCUUGAGAGAACUCGGGUGAAGGAACUAGGCAAAAUGGUGCCGUAACUUCGGGAGAAGGCACGCUGACACGUAGGUGAAGUGAUUUACUCAUGGAGCUGAAGUCAGUCGAAGAUACCAGCUGGCUGCAACUGUUUAUUAAAAACACAGCACUGUGCAAACACGAAAGUGGACGUAUACGGUGUGACGCCUGCCCGGUGCCGGAAGGUUAAUUGAUGGGGUCAGCGCAAGCGAAGCUCCUGAUCGAAGCCCCGGUAAACGGCGGCCGUAACUAUAACGGUCCUAAGGUAGCGAAAUUCCUUGUCGGGUAAGUUCCGACCUGCACGAAUGGCGUAAUGAUGGCCAGGCUGUCUCCACCCGAGACUCAGUGAAAUUGAACUCGCUGUGAAGAUGCAGUGUACCCGCGGCAAGACGGAAAGACCCCGUGAACCUUUACUAUAGCUUGACACUGAACAUUGAGCCUUGAUGUGUAGGAUAGGUGGGGAGGCUUUGAAGUGUGGACGCCAGUCUGCAUGGAGCCGACCUUGAAAUACCACCCUUUAAUGUUUGAUGUUCUAACGUGGACCCGUUACCCGGGUUGCGGACAGUGUCUGGUGGGUAGUUUGACUGGGGCGGUCUCCUCCUAAAGAGUAACGGAGGAGCACGAAGGUUGGCUAAUCCUGGUCGGACAUCAGGAGGUUAGUGGCAAUGGCAUAAGCCAGCUUGACUGCGAGCGUGACGGCGCGAGCAGGUGCGAAAGCAGGUCAUAGUGAUCCGGUGGUUCUGAAUGGAAGGGCCAUCGCUCAACGGAUAAAAGGUACUCCGGGGAUAACAGGCUGAUACCGCCCAAGAGUUCAUAUCGACGGCGGUGUUUGGCACCUCGAUGUCGGCUCAUCACAUCCUGGGGCUGAAGUAGGUCCCAAGGGUAUGGCUGUUCGCCAUUUAAAGUGGUACGCGAGCUGGGUUUAGAACGUCGUGAGACAGUUCGGUCCCUAUCUGCCGUGGGCGCUGGAGAACUGAGGGGGGGCUGCUCCUAGUACGAGAGGACCGGAGUGGACGCAUCACUGGUGUUCGGGUUGUCAUGCCAAUGGCACUGCCCGGUAGCUAAAUGCGGAAGAGAUAAGUGCUGAAAGCAUCUAAGCACGAAACUUGCCCCGAGAUGAGUUCUCCCUGAGACUUAGAGUCUCCUGAAGGAACGUUGAAGACGACGACGUUGAUAGGCCGGGUGUGUAAGCGCAGCGAUGCGUUGAGCUAACCGGUACUAAUGAACCGUGAGGCUUAACCUU
rnacentral:rRNA from 1 species